UAUUGAAGUCCAAUUAGUAAAGCAAAAUAGAUUUUUAACGGUGUCUGGAUUGAAAACACCACAAAAAGUAAAGCAUUAGCUGCGUUUUUUAUGAACACCAAAAAAGUAAACAAUAGCAAUUUUUUCUCAUAAAUGACAGAAAAAGUAAAACAUUAGUGGCGUUUUUUUUCAUAACCGCCGCAAAGGUAAAGCAGGCUUUGGUUCUUUUUUCACAGAACCGGUAUCAGCAAACCUCCACAAAAACCUAAAAGGAUUUUAUUGUUGGAACUGAAGUUUUAAGGUGAUGGCGAGAAUCAAACCACAAGCUCUGCUACAACAGAGCAAAAGGAAGAAAGGGCCAGCUUGAAUAAGUCUUACAACAAUUAUAGUGUUGGCUUUGAUUGUCGUUUUGAUUCUGUUUUUUGUGUAUGCCACCCUACAGUCACUGGUCUCAAAGGGUGACAACUCUUUCAUGGAUUCAAAGAAAUCUGAUCUUCCAGGACAUGCUGUAGGUUCCUUACUUGCUAAGCUCUUUCCUAAUUAAUAUUUGGUGCCUGUGUGAAUAAUGUCUACUUUCUUGUAAUACUGGCCUGCAACGUGCUGUGCUUGGUUCUGAGAAACAAUAUUGACCUAGGUGAUUAACUUACAAUGUGUUUUUUUAUCCAAUGCAUAUAUAUAUUUUUAUCUAUUUAACCAGCUUUCUGCGAUUAAUUUUUUUUUUUCAGCUUGCACAUGUGUCUUAUGAGCACUUGAAUUCAUCAAAAGACAUUACAGAAGAAAUUCUUUUAUCAUGUUCUUGGUUGCAUCACCUAUUAAGGAAACAUAUAUUUCCUUAUGUCUCUCAAUAAGGCAUUUCUUUUAUCUAUUUAACCAGCUUUCUGCAAGUAAAUUUUUCCUUCAUCUUGCAGGCACGUGUCUUGUGAGUACAUGAAUUCAUCACAUUACAAAAGAAAUUCUUUUAUCAUGUUCUCGGUAGCAUCACCUAUUAAGAAAACAUUUCAUUAGCAUGUCUCUCAAUAAAGCAUCUGUUUUUGGUAUUCCUUUGAGGUUUUUCAAUUGUAUCCUACAAUCUUGACAGGUUCGCUUUUUGUGAUGAAUGAAAUUUAGUGAGUUGUUCAUUUAUUACUUUGUUUUACUUUUAGGCUUUUAUAUCGAAAUCUUAUUCAGAAUGAGUUUUAUCCACUGAAUUAGCUCUGUUUUACCCCUUCUUAUGACUAGAUUUUAGAUACUGUGAAAGGCUCUAUAACAGUGGAGCUCUUCAAGGACAGUUCUCCUGAAGUUGUUGAUCAAUUCCUUGAUUUAUGGUGGUCAGAUGUUGCUUGGAGCAUGCAGCAUCAGUGGCCAAGACAUUCUUGAUGUCCGAUUGUGUGGUUGUGGAAAUAAAGGAACCCGAGCCCGUGCCUGCGGGAACCCCAUGGAUAAUUCAGGAUACUGCUACUAAAGCAGAUGUUGAAGGGAAACCGAAUAAGGUAUCAAAUCUCCAUCGUAGCAAUGAUGAACCUGUUUAAGAGUAGAAUGCUUAUUUUCGUUGUUCAUUAAUUAUUGAAAAAUCCUUAAUAUCCCGGUGAUAUAUAGGAUUUGCAUUUUGCAGUUCAGUGUAACGAUUUUGAACAUCAUUUUUUAGUGAAAAGAAGAAAGUUGUUAUUUA